GGAGUUGCAGCUCAGUGGUAGAGCACUUGCCUGGCAUGCAUGAGGCCCUGGGUUCCAUCCUCAGCGCCA
rnacentral:tRNA from 1 species